rnacentral:rRNA from 1 species
AGCGAACGCUGGCGCCAGGCCUAACACAUGCAAGUCGAACGAAGUCUUCGGACUUAGUGGCGGACGGGUGAGUAACACGUGGGAACGUACCUUUUGGUUCGGAACAACUCAGGGAAACUUGAGCUAAUACCGGAUGAGCCCUUAGGGGGAAAGAUUUAUCGCCGAAAGAGCGGCCCGCGUUAGAUUAGCUAGCUGGUGAGGUAAAGGCUCACCAAGGCUACGAUCUAUAGCUGGUCUGAGAGGAUGAUCAGCCACACUGGGACUGAGACACGGCCCAGACUCCUACGGGAGGCAGCAGUGGGGAAUCUUGCGCAAUGGGCGAAAGCCUGACGCAGCCAUGCCGCGUGAAUGAUGAAGGUCUUAGGAUUGUAAAAUUCUUUUACCAGGGACGAUAAUGACGGUACCUGGAGAAAAAGCCCCGGCUAACUUCGUGCCAGCCGCCGCAGUAACAC